rnacentral:rRNA from 1 species
AAUAUUGGACAAUGGGCGAAACCCUGAUCCAGCCAUCCCGCGUGUUUGAUGAAGGCCUUCGGGUUGUAAAGCACUGUAGGCUGAGAGGAAGAGGUGUAGGUGAAUACCAGGCUGUGAUGACGGUAUCUGCAGAAUAAGCACCGGCUCACUGCGUGCCAGCAGCCGCGGUAAUACGAAGGGUGCAAGCGUUAAUCGGAAUUACUGGGCGUAAAGCGUGUGUAGGUGGUUUGGAAAGUUGGAGGUGAAAGCCCAGGGCGCAACCUUGGAACUGCUUUCAUAACUGCCAAGCUAGAGUAUGGCAGAGGGUGGUGGAAUUCCAUGUGUAGCAGUGAAAUGCGUAGAUAUGGGGAGGAACACCGGUGGCGAAGGCAACCCCCUGGGAUAAUACUGACACUGAGGUGCGAAAGCGUGGGGAGCAAACA